rnacentral:rRNA from 1 species
UGGGGAAUUUUGGACAAUGGGCGCAAGCCUGAUCCAGCAAUGCCGCGUGCAGGAUGAAGGCCUUCGGGUUGUAAACUGCUUUUGUACGGAACGAAAAAGCUCUCUCUAAUACAGGGGGUGAAUGACGGUACCGUAAGAAUAAGCACCGGCUAACUACGUGCCAGCAGCCGCGGUAAUACGUAGGGUGCGAGCGUUAAUCGGAAUUACUGGGCGUAAAGCGUGCGCAGGCGGUCUUGCAAGACAGUGGUGAAAUCCCCGGGCUCAACCUGGGAACUGCCAUUGUGACUGCAAGGCUGGAGUACGGCAGAGGGGGAUGGAAUUCCGCGUGUAGCAGUGAAAUGCGUAGAUAUGCGGAGGAACACCGAUGGCGAAGGCAGUCCCCUGGGCCUGUACUGACGCUCAUGCACGAAAGCGUGGGGAGCAAACA